GACAGAGGGUGCGAACGUUGUUCGGAAUUACUGGGCGUAAAGCGCGUGUAGGCGGCACUACAAGUCGGGUGUGAAAGCCCUCGGCUCAACCGAGGAAGUGCACACGAAACUGUGGAGCUAGAGUUCCGGAGAGGAUGGUGGAAUUCUCGGUGUAGAGGUGAAAUUCGUAGAUAUCGAGAGGAACACCGGUGGCGAAGGCGGCCAUCUGGACGGAAACUGACGCUGAGACGCGAAAGCAUGGGGAG
rnacentral:rRNA from 1 species